rnacentral:rRNA from 1 species
GAUGGGCCCGCGUCCGAUUAGCUAGUUGGUGGGGCAAUGGCCUACCAAGGCGACGAUCAGUAGCCGAACUGAGAGGUUGAUCGGCCACAUUGGGACUGAGACACGGCCCAGACUCCUACGGGAGGCAGCAGUGGGGAAUAUUGCGCAAUGGGGGAAACCCUGACGCAGCGACGCCGCGUGGAGGAUGAAGGUUUUCGGAUUGUAAACUCCUGUCAACAGGGACGAAUAAAUGACGGUACCUGUGGAGGAAGCCCCGGCUAACUACGUGCCAGCAGCCGCGGUAAUACGUAGGGGGCUAGCGUUGUCCGGAAUUACUGGGUGUAAAGGGCGUGUAGGCGGGACAUUAAGUCAGUUGUGAAAUACCGAGGCUCAACUUCGGGGCUGCAACUGAAACUAAUGUUCUUGAGUGCAGGAGAGGAAAGCGGAAUUCCUAGUGUAGCGGUGAAAUGCGUAGAUAUUAGGAGGAACACCAGUGGCGAAGGCGGCUUUCUGGACUGUAACUGACGCUGAGGCGCGAAAGCGUGGGGAGCGAACAGGAUUAGAUACCCUGGUAGUCCACGCCGUAAACGAUGGAUACUAGGUGUAGGAGGUAUCGACCCCUUCUGUGCCGGAGUUAACACAAUAAGUAUCCCACCUUCCACCUGGGGAGUACGUCGGCAACGCUGAAACUCAAAGGAAUUGACGGGGGCCCGCACAAGCAGUGGAGUAUGUGGUUUAAUUCGAAGCAACGCGAAGAACCUUACCAGGGCUUGACAUGCAGGUGAAUAAGCAAGAGAUUGCUUAGUCCUUCGGGACACCUGUGCAGGUGGUGCAUGGUUGUCGUCAGCUCGUGUCGUGAGAUGUUGGGUUAAGUCCCGCAACGAGCGCAACCCUUGUCUUUAGUUGCCAUCAUUAAGUUGGGCACUCUAAAGAGACUGCCGGUGUCAAACCGGAGGAAGGUGGGGAUGACGUCAAGUCCUCAUGGCCUUUAUGACCAGGGCUACACACGUACUACAAUGGCUAUAACAGCAGGGAGCUAAGGAGUAAUCCGGAGCGAAUCCUCAAAAAUAGUCCCAGUUCGGAUUGCAGGCUGAAACUCGCCUGCAUGAAGUUGGAGUUGCUAGUAAUCGCGGAUCAGCAUGCCGUGGUGAAUGCGUUCCCGGGUCUUGUACACACCGCCCGUCACACCAUGGAAGUUGGGGGGACCCGAAGCCAGUGAUCCAACCGUAAGGAGGAAGCUGUCGAAGGUAAAACCAAUGACUGGGGUGAAGUCGUAACAAGGUAACCA